UUUGAAUGUACUUUUCAUCGGUUGAUCACUUUUCUCAACUGUUUUGCUUAGUAUAACAUUUACAAAGAUAGCUUUUAUUGUGGUUCAAUGGGAAAACGAGAAUAGCGUGAGUGUUGUAAAAGAGAAGAAAGUCGUUGGCGCCGUGGAGUUAAAAGAAGGGACAACAGUUGACAUAUGGACUGGUACAAACAAGGGUCGAGUGGCCAUCUGUAAAGCUACGAUUUUGAAAGUUUGUGAUGUCAAGGAAUCCAGAUACAAAAUGGUCAAGGUUCUUGUUGACAACCUCAUUCAAGGCCAACUCAUUGUGAGCCCAGGAAAAAAAAAACCAACAGUACAAACAGCAGCUAAGUUUGCAGUUUAGGAUAACUUCAUUCUAAUUUAUUGUUACAGUUACAACAAGAUUUUAAUCAAAAAAUCAAUUUUA